AUAUGGGUGAGCUGAGAACGCGAGAUAACAAUACUGAGAACGCAGUUCUCAUGGCUUAGCUUCCGGCUCCGGGAAGUGGAACUCGGGAAUGGUGGGCAACUCUGGCUUCGGUGGCAGCUCCACCUUGGGCAUCUCGGGCUUGGGUGGCAGGUGCACCUCCGGGAACGUUGGCAGCUCCACCUUGGGCAGCUCGGGCUUAGGUGGCAGCUCCACUUUAGGAAACUCGGGCUUAGGUGGCAAGUGCACCUCCGGGAACGGCGGCAGCUCCACCUUGGGCAGUGGUGGCAGCUCAGGCUUGUGCUCCUCACCCUUGGUGGGAGCAGUCUCCUCCAAGAUUCUGGCCGCGCCGCUCAUGGCGACACAGUAGAGAAGCA